UAGGGAAUCUUCGGCAAUGGGGGCAACCCUGACCGAGCAACGCCGCGUGAGUGAAGAAGGUUUUCGGAUCGUAAAGCUCUGUUGUAAGUCAAGAACGAGUGUGAGAGUGGAAAGUUCACACUGUGACGGUAGCUUACCAGAAAGGGACGGCUAACUUACUGCNCCCCCCCCCGCGGUAAUACGUAGGUCCCGAGCGUUGUCCGGAUUUAUUGGGCGUAAAGCGAGCGCAGGCGGUUUGAUAAGUCCUGAAGUUAAGGGCUGGGCUUCACCCAUAGUUCCUUUUGGAAAUGGCCAAACUUGAUGGCAAAAAGGGGAAAGGGAGUUUCCUGGGGGUAUGGGGGAAAAGGUGAAAAUAUNGAGGGAAAACACCGCCGGGUGACGAANGCGGCUCUCUGGUCUGUAACUGACGCUGAGGCUCGAAAGCGUGGGGAGCGAACAGGAUUAGAUACCCUGGUAGUCCACGCCGUNNCGAUGAGUGCUAGGUGUUGGAUCCUUUCCGGGAUUCAGUGCCGCAUCUAACGCAUUAAGCACUCCGCCUGGGGGAGUACGACCGCAAGGUUG
rnacentral:rRNA from 1 species